CCAGCCCCUAGAGGUGUUGCAGGUGUGGCUGCUGUGUCACAUGUGUGUCAGUAGGUGGCAGAGAGGAGAGAGGCUACGUCUACACACAAUGUUCUGACCUAACCUAACAUU
ensembl:snoRNA Gm24679 predicted gene, 24679